AUUGCACGCUGGCGGUAGGCCUAACACAUGCAAGUCGAACGGCAGCACAGAGGAGCUUGCUCCUUGGGUGGCGAGUGGCGGACGGGUGAGGAAUACAUCGGAAUCUACUCUGUCGUGGGGGAUAACGUAGGGAAACUUACGCUAAUACCGCAUACGUCCUACGGGUGAAAGCAGGGGACCUUCGGGCCUUGCGCGAUUGAAUGAGCCGAUGUCGGAUUAGCUAGUUGGCGGGGUAAAGGCCCACCAAGGCGACGAUCCGUAGCUGGUCUGAGAGGAGGAUCAGCCACACUGGAACUGUGACACGGUCCAGACUCCUACGGGAGGCAGCAGUGGGGAAUAUUGGACAAUGGGCGCAAGCCUGAUCCAGCCAUACCGCGUGGGUGAAGAAGGCCUUCGGGUUGUAAAGCCCUUUUGUUGGGAAAGAAAUCCAGCUGGCUAAUACCCGGUUGGGAUGACGGUACCCAAAGAAUAAGCACCGGCUAACUUCGUGCCAGCCGCCGCGGUAA
rnacentral:rRNA from 1 species